GUAGGUGAACCUGCGGAAGGAUCAUUACCGAAUUGCCAACAUGGGUUGUUGCUGGCCCUCAAAUGGGGGCAAGUGCACGCUCUGUUUGCACAUCCACUCACACCUGUGCACCCUCUGUAGUUCUAUGGCCUGGGGGACUCUGUUCUCCUGCGCUGUGGUUCUAUAUCUUUACACACACACACACACACUGUAACAAAGUCUCAUGGAAUGUAUGCCGCGUUCAACGCAAUACAAUACAACUUUCAGCAAC
rnacentral:misc_RNA from 1 species